GAUGAACGCUGGCGGCGUGCCUAAUACAUGCAAGUCGAGCGAACGGACGAGAAGCUUGCUUCUCUGAUGUUAGCGGCGGACGGGUGAGUAACACGUGGAUAACCUACCUAUAAGACUGGGAUAACUUCGGGAAACCGGAGCUAAUACCGGAUAAUAUUUUGAACCGCAUGGUUCAAAAGUGAAAGACGGUCUUGCUGUCACUUAUAGAUGGAUCCGCGCUGCAUUAGCUAGUUGGUAAGGUAACGGCUUACCAAGGCAACGAUGCAUAGCCGACCUGAGAGGGUGAUCGGCCACACUGGAACUGAGACACGGUCCAGACUCCUACGGGAGGCAGCAGUAGGGAAUCUUCCGCAAUGGGCGAAAGCCUGACGGAGCAACGCCGCGUGAGUGAUGAAGGUCUUCGGAUCGUAAAACUCUGUUAUUAGGGAAGAACAUAUGUGUAAGUAACUGUGCACAUCUUGACGGUACCUAAUCAGAAAGCCACGGCUAACUACGUGCCAGCAGCCGCGGUAAUACGUAGGUGGCAAGCGUUAUCCGGAAUUAUUGGGCGUAAAGCGCGCGUAGGCGGUUUUUUAAGUCUGAUGUGAAAGCCCACGGCUCAACCGUGGAGGGUCAUUGGAAACUGGAAAACUUGAGUGCAGAAGAGGAAAGUGGAAUUCCAUGUGUAGCGGUGAAAUGCGCAGAGAUAUGGAGGAACACCAGUGGCGAAGGCGACUUUCUGGUCUGUAACUGACGCUGAUGUGCGAAAGCGUGGGGAUCAAACAGGAUUAGAUACCCUGGUAGUCCACGCCGUAAACGAUGGGUGCUAAGUGUUAGGGGGUUUCCGCCCCUUAGUGCUGCAGCUAACGCAUUAAGCACUCCGCCUGGGGAGUACGACCGCAAGGUUGAAACUCAAAGGAAUUGACGGGGACCCGCACAAGCGGUGGAGCAUGUGGUUUAAUUCGAAGCAACGCGAAGAACCUUACCAAAUCUUGACAUCCUUUGACAACUCUAGAGAUAGAGCCUUCCCCUUCGGGGGACAAAGUGACAGGUGGUGCAUGGUUGUCGUCAGCUCGUGUCGUGAGAUGUUGGGUUAAGUCCCGCAACGAGCGCAACCCUUAAGCUUAGUUGCCAUCAUUAAGUUGGGCACUCUAAGUUGACUGCCGGUGACAAACCGGAGGAAGGUGGGGAUGACGUCAAAUCAUCAUGCCCCUUAUGAUUUGGGCUACACACGUGCUACAAUGGACAAUACAAAGGGUAGCGAAACCGCGAGGUCAAGCAAAUCCCAUAAAGUUGUUCUCAGUUCGGAUUGUAGUCUGCAACUCGACUACAUGAAGCUGGAAUCGCUAGUAAUCGUAGAUCAGCAUGCUACGGUGAAUACGUUCCCGGGUCU
rnacentral:rRNA from 1 species